rnacentral:rRNA from 1 species
GACGAACGCUGGCGGCGUGCUUAACACAUGCAAGUCGAACGGUAAGGCUCCAGCUUGCUGGGGUACACGAGUGGCGAACGGGUGAGUAACACGUGGGUGACCUGCCCUGCACUUCGGGAUAAGCCUGGGAAACUGGGUCUAAUACCGGAUAGGACCGCACCGUGAGGGUGUGGUGGAAAGUUUUUUCGGUGUGGGAUGGGCCCGCGGCCUAUCAGCUUGUUGGUGGGGUAAUGGCCUACCAAGGCGGCGACGGGUAGCCGGCCUGAGAGGGUGGACGGCCACAUUGGGACUGAAACACGGCCCAGACUCCUACGGGAGGCAGCAGUGGGGAAUAUUGCACAAUGGGCGGAAGCCUGAUGCAGCGACGCCGCGUGGGGGAUGACGGCCUUCGGGUUGUAAACUCCUUUCACCAUCGACGAAGGGUUUCUGACGGUAGAUGGAGAAGAAGCACCGGCUAACUACGUGCCAGCAGCCGCGGUAAUACGUAGGGUGCGAGCGUUGUCCGGAAUUACUGGGCGUAAAGAGCUCGUAGGUGGUUUGUCGCGUCGUCUGUGAAAUUCCGGGGCUUAACUCCGGGCGUGCAGGCGAUACGGGCAUAACUUGAGUACUGUAGGGGAGACUGGAAUUCCUGGUGUAGCGGUGAAAUGCGCAGAUAUCAGGAGGAACACCGGUGGCGAAGGCGGGUCUCUGGGCAGUAACUGACGCUGAGGAGCGAAAGCAUGGGGAGCGAACAGGAUUAGAUACCCUGGUAGUCCAUGCCGUAAACGGUGGGCGCUAGGUGUGGGUUUCCUUCCACGGGAUCCGUGCCGUAGCUAACGCAUUAAGCGCCCCGCCUGGGGAGUACGGCCGCAAGGCUAAAACUCAAAGGAAUUGACGGGGGCCCGCACAAGCGGCGGAGCAUGUGGAUUAAUUCGAUGCAACGCGAAGAACCUUACCUGGGCUUGACAUAUACAGGAUCGCGCCAGAGAUGGUGUUUCCCUUGUGGCUUGUAUACAGGUGGUGCAUGGUUGUCGUCAGCUCGUGUCGUGAGAUGUUGGGUUAAGUCCCGCAACGAGCGCAACCCUUGUCUUAUGUUGCCAGCACGUUGUGGUGGGGACUCGUAAGAAACUGCCGGGGUUAACUCGGAGGAAGGUGGGGAUGACGUCAAAUCAUCAUGCCCCUUAUGUCCAGGGCUUCACACAUGCUACAAUGGCCGGUACAGUGGGUUGCCAGUCCGUGAGGGCGAGCUAAUCCCGCAAAGCCGGUCUCAGUUCGGAUCGGGGUCUGCAACUCGACCCCGUGAAGUCGGAGUCGCUAGUAAUCGCAGAUCAGCAACGCUGCGGUGAAUACGUUCCCGGGCCU